rnacentral:ncRNA from 1 species
AUAAAUGCGAUGAUAAAGUAGAGUAUUAUAAAACUAGAUUACAGAGAGAAAGAUUAAGCUGAGAACUUUCAUUAAUGUUUUAUAAGAAGUGCGCUUUGGAGCAGUAAUCUGAAACUUAAGGUAGUAGGAGAAUUCGGUGCUUACCCGUUAUAGUAAGAGGCUUUGCCAUAAAGAGGGGUUUUUAUAACCUAAACUAGAGUGGAACCACGAAUUUAUACUUCGUCUCUAUA